AUUGAACGCUGGCGGCAUGCCUUACACAUGCAAGUCGAACGGCAGCACGGGAGCUUGCUCCUGGUGGCGAGUGGCGAACGGGUGAGUAAUACAUCGGAACGUACCCUGAAGUGGGGGGAUAACGUAGCGAAAAGUUACGCUAAUACCGCAUAUUCUGUGAGCAGGGGAAGCAGGGGGAUCGCAAGACCUUGCGCUGAUUGAGCGGCCGAUGUCAGAUUAGCUAGUUGGUGAGGUAAAAGGCUCACCAAGGCGACGAUCUGUAGCGGGUCUGAGAGGAUGAUCCGCCACACUGGAACUGAGACACGGUCCAGACUCCUACGGGAGGCAGCAGUGGGGAAUUUUGGACAAUGGGGGGCAACCCUGAUCCAGCCAUGCCGCGUGAGUG
rnacentral:rRNA from 1 species